rnacentral:rRNA from 1 species
UACGGGGGGGGCAAGCGUUGUUCGGAAUUACUGGGCGUAAAGGGCGCGUAGGCGGCUCUUCAAGUCAGCCGUGAAAUCUCCAGGCUUAACCUGGAAGGGUCGGUUGAUACUGUCGAGCUAGAGUGUGGAAGAGGCAACUGGAAUUCCGUGUGUAGCGGUGAAAUGCGUAGAUAUACGGAGGAACACCUGCGGCGAAGGCGGGUUGCUGGGCCAACACUGACGCUGAUGCGCGAAAGCUAGGGUAGCAAACGGG